AUUUGGCCAAAUUUGGUGGGGUUUUUUCCUACAAGUCACAUUUAACCUCCUCUUUCCAAAAAUGUAACUUUCAUGUGCCAAAACUCUAUGGAUCAAAAUGGCCCUUUUUGAACUUACAUGUUUAUUUUCAAGUGUAGUGAAAAUUUGAGUUUUUGAAUUAAGCAUUUUUAAACCAUUUGGCCAAUUGGAAUUGAUUUAAAAUGAUAAUUGGAACUUGCCCAAAGCCCAAAUUCGUGCAGAACAUGCACCUCCUUAC
rnacentral:lncRNA from 1 species